rnacentral:ncRNA from 1 species
UUUGAAACAUGGCAAACCCAUCGCAAGGUGGGGACGCAAAGCUAGAGGGUCCUAACUCUCUCCCUGGAGAAGGACAGCCAGUUGCCGAA